GACCAAGUAGCUCAGCUGGUAGAGCACAUCCCUUUUAAGGAUGGGGUCCUGGGUUCGAACCCCAGCUUGGUCA
rnacentral:tRNA from 1 species